rnacentral:lncRNA from 1 species
AUUUCUUGCAAUUAUCAUAUUCAACAAUCUUUCCAUGCAUAACACAAAUACAUAAGGCGAUAGAGGGUCACCCUGCCUAAGUCCUCCACCAAUACCUGUUUGUGGAUAUGAAUUUAUUGCAACUUGUUCUUGGUUCUUUUUUUAGUCUUGUCGUAGAGUCUUGACUCCCAGGUUCUUAUUGCUCAAUCUUGUUACAUUUUUUUUCCAGAUGAAUACAUCAAUAACC